rnacentral:rRNA from 1 species
UGGGGAAUAUUGCACAAUGGGCGAAAGCCUGAUGCAGCAACGCCGCGUGAGUGAUGAAGGCCUUCGGGUUGUAAAGCUCUGUCUUUUGGGACGAUAAUGACGGUACCAAAGGAGGAAGCCACGGCUAACUACGUGCCAGCAGCCGCGGUAAUACGUAGGUGGCGAGCGUUGUCCGGAUUUACUGGGCGUAAAGGAUGCGUAGGCGGAUAUUUAAGUGAGAUGUGAAAUACCCGGGCUUAACUUGGGUGCUGCAUUUCAAACUGGAUAUCUAGAGUGCGGGAGAGGAGAAUGGAAUUCCUAGUGUAGCGGUGAAAUGCGUAGAGAUUAGGAAGAACACCAGUGGCGAAGGCGAUUCUCUGGACCGUAACUGACGCUGAGGCAUGAAAGCGUGGGUAGCAAACAG